UACGGGGGGGGCAAGCGUUGUUCGGAAUUACUGGGCGUAAAGGGCUCGUAGGCGGCCAACUAAGUCGGAUGUGAAAUCCCCAGGCUUAACCUGGGAACUGCAUCCGAUACUGGAUGGCUUGAAUUCGGGAGAGGGAUGCAGAAUUCCAGGUGUAGCGGUGAAAUGCGUAGAUAUCUGGAGGAAUACCGGUGGCGAAGGCGGCAUCCUGGACCGAGAUUGACGCUGAUGCGCGAAAGCGUGGGUAGCAAACAGG
rnacentral:rRNA from 1 species